GACCGCUCCGGUGGCCUAGUGGUUACAGCGUCCGCCUUGGAUGUGGGAGUUUGCAGGUUCGAACCCUGGCCGAGUCA